GUUUAAGUAGCUUAAUAAAGAGCGUGACACUGAAGCUGUUAAAGUAACUUAAAGUUCUUAAACA
rnacentral:tRNA from 1 species